UGGUGGAGUGAUUUGUCUGGUUGAUUCCGUUAACGAACGAGAUCUUGACCCUUCAAUGACAGUCGGAUUAUACGUAAUCUCACGCUCUGUUCUUCGGAUCAGUCGUAGGAUGAGAUCCGUACAUGUACUCAAGGGGACGAUGCAUGAUUACCAAUGCGUGGAAGUUCGAGCCAAUAGCA
rnacentral:rRNA from 1 species